AAUGGUCCACAUCAUGGCCCACCUGCCAGAUUAAUUAAUGAAAUUUUUAUAGCUAUGUAGAUGAGUUUUACAUCACAUUGAGAGCAACUAGACCAGUGUCAUCAAAGGCGAGCCAAGCGCCCAUGCGAGGCGAGACACUCCUCUGUCGCCUCUAUUGGAACGCCUGGCUGGGCUUUAGGGAGGCCUCAUCAAAGCAACGGUAAAUUUUUUUUUUUUUUUAAAUGAAUCAAGUUUAAUUGAAACACAUACACAGGGGAAGGAGAAAGGCCAAAGCACA
rnacentral:misc_RNA from 1 species